ACGGGUAUAGUUUAAAGGUAGAACGAAGGUCUCCAAAACCUUUGGUCUGGGUUCGAGUCCUGGUACCCGUG
rnacentral:tRNA from 1 species